ACGCUCGACACCUACGGAGGCAGCAGUGGGGAAUAUUGCACAAUGGGGGAAACCCUGAUGCAGCGACGCCGCGUGGAGGAAGAAGGUCUUCGGAUUGUAAACUCCUGUUGUUGGGGAAAAAGAGGAUGGUACCCAACAAGGAAGUGACGGCUAACUACGUGCUAGCAGCCGCGGUAAUCUGAGGCGGGCUGGCAAGGC
rnacentral:rRNA from 1 species